rnacentral:rRNA from 1 species
UGCUUACACAUGCAAGUCGAACGAUGAACCGGUUUCGGCCGGGGAUUAGUGGCGAACGGGUGAGUAACACGUGGGCAAUCUGCCCUGCACUCUGGGAUAAGCCCGGGAAACUGGGUCUAAUACCGGAUACGACACAUGAGCGCAUGCUCGUGUGUGGAAAGUUCCGGCGGUGCAGGAUGAGCCCGCGGCCUAUCAGUUUGUUGGUGGGGUAGUGGCCUACCAAGACGACGACGGGUAGCCGGCCUGAGAGGGUGACCGGCCACACUGGGACUGAGACACGGCCCAGACUCCUACGGGAGGCAGCAGUGGGGAAUAUUGCACAAUGGGCGAAAGCCUGAUGCAGCGACGCCGCGUGAGGGAUGACGGCCUUCGGGUUGUAAACCUCUUUCAGCAGGGAAGAAGCGAAAGUGACGGUACCUGCAGAAGAAGCACCGGCUAACUACGUGCCAGCAGCCGCGGUAAUACGUAGGGUGCAAGCGUUGUCCGGAAUUAUUGGGCGUAAAGAGCUCGUAGGCGGCCUGUCGCGUCGAUUGUGAAAGCCCAGGGCUUAACCCUGGGUCUGCAGUCGAUACGGGCAGGCUAGAGUUCGGUAGGGGAGAUCGGAAUUCCUGGUGUAGCGGUGAAAUGCGCAGAUAUCAGGAGGAACACCGGUGGCGAAGGCGGAUCUCUGGGCCGAUACUGACGCUGAGGAGCGAAAGCGUGGGGAGCGAACAGGAUUAGAUACCCUGGUAGUCCACGCCGUAAACGGUGGGCACUAGGUGUGGGCAACAUUCCACGUUGUCCGUGCCGCAGCUA